rnacentral:lncRNA from 1 species
GUCGAUAAGUUUUUAUUGCCAAGCAUAUUUUUAUAAAUGUCUGAAUUAACCAACCUAACUUGACACGAUCAAAACUUGACUGCGUUGGGUUGAAACACAUAAAUGGGAUGGGUUGUUCAGAUUUAAGAUCUUCCAACAAUGUUGGGUUAGGUAAAAAAUCGAUCCACCCCAACCCAACCUGUGCCUACCCCUAAUUCUAUUUGGGCUGAUGUUUCGUGGUCUACCUCUUUAAGUAAUGGUUUUAUCCUAUCCUUACAAAUGGCCUUUUCUUAUCCGUUGUAUUGGUAAAUUUCUAUUAGGCACAUAUAUUGAUCUUCUUAUCUUUCAUUCGGCUGGGGUUUGAAUAGUAUUCUGCUAGAGUUUAUGGACUGCUCUUUGAGUGUUCUGUACUCUUCGUCUUCGUGUUCAAUCUCUGUAAUCUUUUAGUGAGAUGUUCUUGAUUGUAUUUAGUGUGCAAUCUGAGAGAUUGAGUGAAGUAUAUUCUAUGUAAUUCUUAGAGAGAUAAGAAGAAACAUUACAUUUGUAAUUGUCCUUGAUGAUUUUUUUUUAUUUUUUUUUGGAUUUGAGCAAUAUCUACUUAGUAGAUACUCAAAGUGGUAAAUAGGCCUUUGGCUGAACAUCCGGGCCUUUAGUAACGAAAAUUUCUCUGUCUUCUUCUAUUCUUUGCAUUUUUUUAUUUUUUGUAACUCUAAGCUUUUCACAUCAUUAUUAUUUUGGUGAUUCUG